GCUGUUUGCUGGUCUCUCCUCUUUGAGACAUGUGCACGCUUGUUAUCUUUAUUUCUCCAACUGUGCACACAUUGUAGACCUGGUAUUUUGGAUUGUUCGAGUAAAAUCGAAUAGAUUGAGGAUUGCUGAGCUUUCUCAAAGACAGCUUUGCCUUGCAUUUCCAGGUCUAUGUUAUUUCAUAAACCUUUGAAUAUGUUACAGAAUGUUGAAUUGGGUCUUUGCACCUAUAAAGUUAAAUAUACAACUUUCAGCAACGGAUCUCUUGGCUCUCGCAUCGAUGAAGAACGCAGCGAAAUGCGAUAAGUAAUGUGAAUUGCAGAAUUCAGUGAAUCAUCGAAUCUUUGAACGCAUCUUGCGCUCCUUGGUAUUCCGAGGAGCAUGCCUGUUUGAGUGUCAUUAAGUUCUCAACUGCACUAGUUCUUUCUGGUGCAGCUUGGAUGUGGGGGUGUUUUUUUGCAGGCUUUUCAAAGUCGGCUCCCCUGAAAUGCAUUAGUGGUCUCCUAGCAGAGAAACUGCUACAGGUGUGAUAAUUAUCUAUGCCUUUAGUACUCUGCAAGAAUGGAUUGCACUGCUUCUUAACAAGUGAAUCCCUGUUAUGGGGAGUGCACAUUUGACAAAUUUGACCUCAAAUCAGGUAGGACUACCCGCUGAACUUAAGCAUAUC
rnacentral:rRNA from 1 species